GAUGAACGCUGGCGGCGUGCCUAAUACAUGCAAGUCGAGCGAACGGACGAGAAGCUUGCUUCUCUGAUGUUAGCGGCGGACGGGUGAGUAACACGUGGAUAACCUACCUAUAAGACUGGGAUAGCUUCGGGAAACCGGAGCUAAUACCGGAUAAUAUUUUGAACCGCAUGGUUCAAAAGUGAAAGACGGUCUUGCUGUCACUUAUAGAUGGAUCCGCGCUGCAUUAGCUAGUUGGUAAGGUAACGGCUUACCAAGGCAACGAUGCAUAGCCGACCUGAGAGGGUGAUCGGCCACACUGGAACUGAGACACGGUCCAGACUCCUACGGGAGGCAGCAGUAGGGAAUCUUCCGCAAUGGGCGAAAGCCUGACGGAGCAACGCCGCGUGAGUGAUGAAGGUCUUCGGAUCGUAAAACUCUGUUAUUAGGGAAGAACAUAUGUGUAAGUAACUGUGCACAUCUUGACGGUACCUAAUCAGAAAGCCACGGCUAACUACGUGCCAGCAGCCGCGGUAAUACGUAGGUGGCAAGCGUUAUCCGGAAUUAUUGGGCGUAAAGCGCGCGUAGGCGGUUUUUUAAGUCUGAUGUGAAAGCCCACGGCUCAACCGUGGAGGGUCAUUGGAAACUGGAAAACUUGAGUGCAGAAGAGGAAAGUGGAAUUCCAUGUGUAGCGGUGAAAUGCGCAGAGAUAUGGAGGAACACCAGUGGCGAAGGCGACUUUCUGGUCUGUAACUGACGCUGAUGUGCGAAAGCGUGGGGAUCAAACAGGAUUAGAUACCCUGGUAGUCCACGCCGUAAACGAUGAGUGCUAAGUGUUAGGGGGUUUCCGCCCCUUAGUGCUGCAGCUAACGCAUUAAGCACUCCGCCUGGGGAGUACGACCGCAAGGUUGAAACUCAAAGGAAUUGACGGGGACCCGCACAAGCGGUGGAGCAUGUGGUUUAAUUCGAAGCAACGCGAAGAACCUUACCAAAUCUUGACAUCCUUUGACAACUCUAGAGAUAGAGCUUUCCCCUUCGGGGGACAAAGUGACAGGUGGUGCAUGGUUGUCGUCAGCUCGUGUCGUGAGAUGUUGGGUUAAGUCCCGCAACGAGCGCAACCCUUAAGCUUAGUUGCCAUCAUUAAGUUGGGCACUCUAAGUUGACUGCCGGUGACAAACCGGAGGAAGGUGGGGAUGACGUCAAAUCAUCAUGCCCCUUAUGAUUUGGGCUACACACGUGCUACAAUGGACAAUACAAAGGGCAGCGAAACCGCGAGGUCAAGCAAAUCCCAUAAAGUUGUUCUCAGUUCGGAUUGUAGUCUGCAACUCGACUACAUGAAGCUGGAAUCGCUAGUAAUCGUAGAUCAGCAUGCUACGGUGAAUACGUUCCCGGGUCU
rnacentral:rRNA from 1 species